rnacentral:rRNA from 1 species
UGAGGAAUAUUGGACAAUGGGUGAAACCCUGAUGCAGCGACGCCGCGUGGAGGAAGAAGGUCUUCGGAUUGUAAACUCCUGUCUUCGGGGACGAUAAUGACGGUACCCGAAGAGGAAGCACCGGCUAACUACGUGCCAGCAGCCGCGGUAAUACGUAGGGGGCAAGCGUUGUCCGGAAUUACUGGGCGUAAAGCGCACGCAGGCGGCGUGGCGAGUCAGAAGUGAAAUCCCCGGGCUCAACCUGGGAACUGCUUUUGAAACGGUCAUGCUUGAAUCAUGGAGAGGGUAGCGGAAUUCCGAGUGUAGAGGUGAAAUUCGUAGAUAUUCGGAAGAACACCGGUGGCGAAGGCGGCUACCUGGCCAUGUAUUGACGCUGAGGUGCGAAAGCGUGGGGAGCAAACA